rfam:Solanum lycopersicum cultivar Heinz 1706 chromosome 9, whole genome shotgun sequence.
GUCGAGCUUAGUAACGUGGGCUUGUAACCCAAGUGGGGAUGUUAAGGUGGUGGAAUAUUGGGCUGUCCCAGAUGGCUGGGCUUGGUGGGCUAAUUUCUGGCCUGCCCUAUCCAAGCACAGAGUUGGAUCAUGUGGUCCAAUUGAAAGAAUGGGCUACUAGAUUCCUAAAGUGGGGUGGACCGCGUGAGGCUGGUUUCACAGAGCAACGAAAAACUUCCGCUUUGUGCAGUGGAAGGAUAACGGACCGGUGCCUUCCAAGUUCCAUUAAUGCCUGAUGGGCUGCUCCAAUUAAACCACCACUUUU